UACGUAGGGCGCAAGCGUUGUCCGGAAUUAUUGGGCGUAAAGAGCUCGUAGGCGGUCUGUCGCGUCGGAUGUGAAAGCCCGGGGCUUAACCCCGGGUCUGCAUUCGAUACGGGCAGACUAGAGUGUGGUAGGGGAGAUCGGAAUUCCUGGUGUAGCGGUGAAAUGCGCAGAUAUCAGGAGGAACACCGGUGGCGAAGGCGGAUCUCUGGGCCAUUACUGACGCUCAGGCACGAAAGCGUGGGGAGCAAACAGG
rnacentral:rRNA from 1 species